CAAAGAACAAUACAACUUCAUUCAUUGGACGCCCUCUUCUCUUGUGAGCUUUUAUAUGCUGUGUUUUUUCCAUCAAUGGCCUUCCCAUGUCCAGCCCAGGAAUGGAAGGAAUGAGCUAAGACCCUGGAGAAUCUGUUUUCCUCCCUUUUACAGUUGCUUCCCGGGAAUGGAUUCAAAACAAGCCUCUAACAAAAGCAGAGAUGUGCCAGGUUUCACAGAAUAAUGGCUGCAGGUCAGAUAAUGGCCUGAGAUAGUCCCCACAUCUUUUUUUAUACCAUGGUGACCAAAACUGGAUGCAAUAUUCCAAGUAUGGCCUUACUGAGGCAUUAUAUGAUGCAGCCUAGGACCGCGUUGGCUUUUUUUGGCAGCUGCAACACACUGCUAUCUCGUAUUUAAGUGAUUGUCUACCAGGACUCCCAGAUUCCUCUCGCAGUUACUACUACUGAACCAGGUGGAUCUACUCCAAAACCUCAGCACUUGGAUUGCCCCAAAAUCAAGCAUCUCUCUGUACAAUCUGUAUGUUGAAAAAGCAUUUUCUUUUAAUAUCUAUCCAUUUCCAUAUGUCAGCUACUAUAUUCUCCCUUCCUC